CCGCCCAGUGGCGGACGGGUGAGUAACGCGUGGGCAACCUACCCCGCACUGGGGGACAACAGCCGGAAACGGCUGCUAAUACCGCAUGGGCGCCACGCCCCGCAUGGGGCGAGGCGGAAAGCCUUGGCGGUGCGGGAUGGGCCCGCGUCUGAUUAGCUAGUUGGCGGGGCAACGGCCCACCAAGGCGACGAUCAGUAGCCGGCCUGAGAGGGUGGGCGGCCACAUUGGGACUGAGACACGGCCCAAGCUCCUACGGAAGGCAGCAG
rnacentral:rRNA from 1 species